ACACAAUAAGUAAUCCACCUGGGGAGUACGACCGCAAGGUUGAAACUCAAAGGAAUUGACGGGGGCCCGCACAAGCAGUGGAGUAUGUGGUUUAAUUNGAAGCAACGCGAAGAACCUUACCAGGUCUUGACAUCCAACUAACGAAGCAGAGAUGCAUCAGGUGCCCUUCGGGGAAAGUUGAGACAGGUGGUGCAUGGUUGUCGUCAGCUCGUGUCGUGAGAUGUUGGGUUAAGUCCCGCAACGAGCGCAACCCUUAUCAUUAGUUGCCAACAGGUCAUGCUGGGGACUCUAAAGGAACUGCCUACGCAAGUAGUGAGGAAGGCGGGGAUGACGUCAAAUCAGCGCGGCCCUUACGUCCAGGGCUACACACGUGCUACAAUGGCCGAUACAGAGGGCAGNUACCUGGUGACAGGAUGCAAAUCUCGAAAGUCGGUNUCA
rnacentral:rRNA from 1 species